rnacentral:rRNA from 1 species
CAGCAGCCGCGGGAAUACGGAGGGAGCUAGCGUUGUUCGGAAUUACUGGGCGUAAAGCGCGCGUAGGCGGUUACUCAAGUCAGAGGUGAAAGCCCGGGGCUCAACCCCGGAACUGCCUUUGAAACUAGGUGACUAGAAUCUUGGAGAGGUCAGUGGAAUUCCGAGUGUAGAGGUGAAAUUCGUAGAUAUUCGGAAGAACACCAGUGGCGAAGGCGACUGACUGGACAAGUAUUGACGCUGAGGUGCGAAAGCGUGGGGAGCAAACAGGAUUAGAUACCCGCGUAGUCCCUGUCUCUUAUAU